rnacentral:rRNA from 1 species
CAGUCGAGGGGUAUAGUUCUUCGGAACUAGAGACCGGCGCACGGGUGCGUAACGCGUAUGCAAUCUACCUUUUACAGAGGGAUAGCCCAGAGAAAUUUGGAUUAAUACCUCAUAGUAUAUAGCCCUGGCAUCAGGAUUAUAUUAAAGUCACAACGGUAAAAGAUGAGCAUGCGUCCCAUUAGCUAGUUGGUAAGGUAACGGCUUACCAAGGCUACGAUGGGUAGGGGUCCUGAGAGGGAGAUCCCCCACACUGGUACUGAGACACGGACCAGACUCCUACGGGAGGCAGCAGUGAGGAAUAUUGGACAAUGGGCGCAAGCCUGAUCCAGCCAUGCCGCGUGCAGGAUGACGGUCCUAUGGAUUGUAAACUGCUUUUAUACGAGAAGAAACACUCCUUCGUGAAGGAGCUUGACGGUAUCGUAAGAAUAAGGAUCGGCUAACUCCGUGCCAGCAGCCGCGGUAAUACGGAGGAUCCAAGCGUUAUCCGGAAUCAUUGGGUUUAAAG